UGAAAAUUAAAAACAUCAGGCUGGCAUGGAGAAGAUUAUUUACAACUCAUAUUUAGGUCUGUGAUUGUGUCUGUCUUUCUUGGAGAUUUGUCCCUUUUAAAAAAAAUCUGUUUGUGUGGGAAGAGCAGAAAAGCCUCCAGCUUCCAGGAUACAAAAUAAAAUAUCCCUGCCACUCGUCACACAACUUCAUUUACCAUUAUCUGUUUCCCCAUGAUAUCCUCCUAGCCAGGAAACCUAAAGGAAUAGGGAAGAUGCUCAGAGUCUUCGCUGGUGCUGUUGUGUUCCUUCGGUUGGUUGCCUUCCAGCUCAGCAUUCUGGCUUUCUGUCCGCGUGUUCGUUUCUUUGGAAACGGCUGUAGGAUGGAUUUUUGAUUGACUGUGUUGUCAGAUGGAUUAUCAGAGUUGUGAGCUUUUUGGAAUGGUAGACAUGAACGUGUGAGAAGGAAAAAAAAAAUAUUUUGUACUUAAAACAUUUCAAAAUCUUGCAUCAUGAAAAAAGCUAGAUGGAAUAUUUAGCAGGUUACUUAAGGAAAAAGUUUGUUUUUUGAGAGAUGUCAACUAGUUUUGUUACUGGGAAAAAAAAAUAUUUUAAUAUGGGGAAAUGAGACCAAUGGGAGCGUUAAUACCUAAGCAAUGUGAGGUAGUUUCUGCAGAGACACAAUGGUUAUUUUAAACAGCAGUCUGAAGCUGUAGCUGCUCUGAAUUCAGGGCAGAAACCAGCUUUUAGCCCGACCCGUACUCACACCGAUUUGUUACAGCGCUUAUGUGUGCAGAUCUGUGCGUGAUUCCCAUCUGCAGUUCUAGGGUUGUCUCCUGCCUGAUUCAGGGCUGGGUGGUGGCAGCUGUCCCCACGCUCCUGGUGGCUCUGCGGUGCUGGAGGUUGGGGCAGGUUGUGGGCUGGGGGACAUCAGCACGCACACUGCUGCAGGAGCUCAUCUCCUGCUGCACACAGCCCUGCAGUCACCUUGGUUGGGGAUGGGCAUGGAUCACAUGUGGUACACUUCUUCUCUGGCUGCGGAGCAAUCGGAAAAGUCAGUGUUUCUGCAGCAGUGCUGACUAAUGAGGAUGCUUGUUGGACUGAGGGUGUUUCUGUUGUUGCAUUGAGGUGCAAGG
ensembl:lncRNA